rnacentral:rRNA from 1 species
AGUUGGUGGAGUGAUUUGUCUGGUUAAUUCCGUUAACGAACGAGACCUCAGCCUGCUAAAUAGUACUGUCAUUCUUGAAUGGCAGCGACUUCUUAGAGGGACUACUUAUGCUAUAACUGAGCGGAAGCUUGAGGCAAUAACAGGU